rnacentral:rRNA from 1 species
CAAUAGCGUAUAUUAAAGUUGUUGCGGUUAAAAAGCUCGUAGGCAUCUGGUUCGGCCUUGGCAUCUUCUUGGUGAACGUAUCUGCACUUGACUGUGUGGUGCGGUACCCAGGACUUUUACUUCGAGGAAAUUGGAGUGCUUCAAGCAGGCCAAAGCUUGCACAUACUAGCAUGGAAUAAUUCUACUAUGCCUCAGUUCUCUUUUGCUGGCUUUGAAAUCUGAGGAAAAGACCGAUAGGGACAGUUGGGGGCACUCGUAUUCGACGGUUAGAGGUGAAAUUCUUGAAUUCGUUGAGGCCGGUCUACUGCGAAGGCAUUUGCCAAGGAUGUUUUCAUUGAUCAAGAACGAAAGUUAGGGGAUCGAAGACGAUCAGAUACC